rnacentral:RNase_P_RNA from 1 species
GGAAACGACCCGUCGCUGGCCCUUAAGGCUAGAGGAAACAUCCCACACCCCGUUUGGUGCCUAAGCACCAGGCGAAGCAGGCCGCCUCCCGCAAGGGAGGGCAGCUUCUUUUUGGAGCUGACGACUAGUGCCACAGAGACGAGCUGCGCAAGAAUUAUCUUGCGCGGGUGAAACGAGGUAAACUUCCGGCCGGGUGCAACUCAAAUAGGGGGCGCGUAACGCCGCGCUGUCCCGGGUAGAGGCAGCCGCUUUAAGCGGCACCGAUUAUUAGAGUCGGUAGAUAGAUGACGGGAUAAAACAGAAUGGGAGUUACGGUU